AACCAUAGAAACCUGCGGAGUACCUGCGGAGGGAUCAUUAUAGUAUAUGGAAUCUCCAUUCUAUAAACCCACUCUGCGUAUCUUGUAACUGUUGCUUCCAUGGGACUUGGUUCCGCCACACCGGCUCCACGGCUGGUGAGCGCCCAUGGAAGGAGAAACAAAACUCUUCUUUGAAAUGUAGUCAGUCUGAACAAGUUUUUAUAAACGUUAAAACUUUUAACAAUGGAUCUCAGAUCGGAA
rnacentral:misc_RNA from 1 species